CACUGCUCUUCUUUUCCACACUUUUGACUAUCAUCUGCUCUUUGAUCCUUCUUUUCUUCUCAAGAAACACGAUCAAUGAUCCGUACAACUCUCUCUUCUCGAUUUCUCUUUUUCCAAUAAUCACCAAACUACCCCCGAAAGUUUUUGUUUGAUCAAUUUAGGGUUUGAUCUUUAGCUGUUGUGAUCAGUUUAUUAGUGGAAAUGAAGAUAGUGGAUUUGGAUGAGUCGUUAAUGGAAGGUGAUGGCAAUUGUGUAAAUACUGAGAAACGGGUGAUUGUUGUUGGUGUUGAUGCUAAAAGAGCGUUGGUCGGAGCCGGGGCUCGGAUCCUUUUUUACCCGACCCUUUUAUACAAUGUUUUCCGCAACAAAAUUCAAUCGGAGUUCAGAUGGUGGGAUCAAAUUGAUCAGUUUCUCCUCCUUGGAGCAGUUCCAUUUCCCUCGGAUGUCCCUCGGUUGAAGCAGCUUGGCGUUGGUGGUGUAAUAACACUGAAUGAACCUUAUGAAACUUUGGUACCAUCAUCAUUGUACCAUGCCCAUGGGAUAGACCAUCUCGUUAUUCCUACCAGAGAUUAUCUUUUUGCACCCUCUUUCGUGGAUAUAAACCGAGCAGUAGAUUUUAUUCACAGGAAUGCGUCCAUUGGCCAGACUACGUAUGUACAUUGCAAAGCCGGAAGGGGAAGGAGCACAACCGUUGUGCUUUGCUAUUUGGUGGAAUAUAAGCACAUGACUCCUCGUGCUGCCCUGGAAUUCGUCCGUUCCAGAAGACCUAGAGUUUUAUUGGCUCCUUCUCAAUGGAAGGCUGUUCAAGAAUUCAAGCAGCAAAGAGUUGCAUCUUCACCGCUCUCGGGUGAUGCUGUAUUGAUCACUAAAGCAGAUCUUGAAGGAUAUCAUAGUUCUUCGGAUGAUAGUCAUGGUAAGGAACUAGCCCUUGUGCCUCGAAUAGCAAGAACGCAGCCGAUGAUAGCUAGAUUAUCCUGCCUCUUUGCAUCCUUGAAAGUAUCAGGUGGUUGUGGACCUGUUACCAGGCAACUGACUGAGGCACGUGCCUGCUAAUCGCACACUCAUCAGCAGCAGCUACCUUGUACAGAAGACCACUGCUAAAAUAAGGAAGAGAAACAGCAGAUGAUCAGCGACAAAGUCUACUUUCACUUCUCCCAAUUGUGAAGAUGUGUGGACAUCAUUCAUUGGCGUGUUGUUUAUCGGACAUGUAAAUGCAUAACGUUUAACCUAUAUGUUCAGAAGUUGUUGCCAUGUGAUCAGGAGGUCAUAGGUUCUAGUCGUGGAAACAGCAUCUUGCAAAAAUGUAGGGUAAGGCUGUGUAUGAUAGACCCUUGUGGUCCGUCCCUUCCCCGGACCCCGCGCAUAGCGGGAGCUUAGUUCAGAAGUUGUAUUCCCGGAGCUAAAAGAAAAAACCAUAAUAUGACACAUAGAGAAAUCCAAAAAAAAAAAAAAGGAAUGCUUACUAUUAUUGUUGUUGUUAUUGUUGUUGUCGUAUGGGGUAGGAAGAUUUUAUAAUGAAAUUGUAAUUUUUGGUGUCCUA